GGGGGCUGUAGGGAGGGAGUCCCUACAGAGAGCUGGGCUGGGCGAGGCGAGGCGAGACCCAGGAAGGAGCAAAAGCCCUGGUAUUCUAGCCCUUCAGGAAGGGUUCACCCAGAGGAGUUGCAGGAAGAAAGCCUGUGGAAUGCAGAGAAAGAAGAGGCUGAGGGAAAGAGCAGCAAAGGCAGAGAUUGUGUAGAGCCUGGCUGCUGAUUACAGGGUGUCUGGGCUAAAACCCAGAGUAGCGGGCAGGCCUGGGUUCCCCUACCAACCACUGGGAAAGUGGAAUAGACUUGGAAUUGGCAUGGAGGACUGCCUGUGACAGCAUCUGGACAGACUGUCCAGAGGGACUUUAAUACCUUGGAAAGGGAAAAUGAUAGAGGGACCUAGAUGGAGGCCAAGUCAUGAAGAGAGAGUACUCCUGAGUCCUGGAGAGCAAGAGGGACCCCAAGGCAAGUGAGCAACAGAAAAGGGUGCUAGACUGGAUGAGAGCUAAUCCCCAGACCCAACCAGAAGGAGGUACCCUAACAGAGAUGGACUAGAUGAUCCCCACAUUCUCUUCUAGCCUUUGACUUAAUCUAUGAAAUCACAUUAGGAAGCAUUUAUCGCAACCUGUGAAUUGACUCUUGGAGUUCACCCACAGCCUCAGAAUUAGUUCUUCAGCCAACUGUAGACAAGAUGCAGAGCUAGUCUGUUCUGUCCCCUCCCACAUUCAUGGACAGGUUGGGAGUGCGGUUUUCCCUGACUUGAGUUCAUAGCCAACUACAGGAACUGCUCUUCCUGAUCCUGGUGCAGGAAACUUGACUGGACAGUGGCUCUUCAAGCUUUCUGGUCCUCCUCUUCUCCCACCCAGAGGGCAGCUUCUUAGGUCUUGGGACCACUAGUCUCCACGCCUCAUCCCUUUCCAAAAGAGUCAUCUUAGGCUGCAAGGAUACCCCAGCCCUUCAUUACUGAAUGACCAAGAGACUAAGAGUGCCUGACCCAGGGAGAGGUGGGUGGGUGAAUGAGUAAAGUGACUGGGAUGAACAGGUGAGUAAGGAGUGAAAUGAAUUGAUUUGAAGGAGAGAGUUGGGUUUUUGUUCAUUUGUGUGGCUUUUUUUUUUAACUGAGAUGAAGUAAUGGGAGAACUUGUUAAGGGGGUUUGAGAAGGAGGGAGAGACUAAAUAUGGAGGAAUGAGGGUAAAGAGGAGAAGGGAGAUGGAAAUGGAAGUGCAUGAGAAGAAACUGCAAAUAGGAGGAAAAGAAGAGGAGCAAACGAAAGGAAGAUCAAGGGAGCUGAAUAUUAAAAUUAAAAGUUGGAUGUUUAAAAUAUAGUACCAUAAGUACAACCAAUGCUGUAAACUGAGCCACAAGUAUUUCCUAUAAGAGCUUAGAAAGUAAAGAUCAGUUACUGAUA